GGGUAGCCGGCCUGAGAGGGUGACCGGCCACACUGGGACUGAGAUACGGCCCAGACUCCUACGGGAGGCAGCAGUCGAGAAGCUUCGGCAAUGGGCGAAAGCCUGACCGAGCGACGCCGCGUGAGCGAAGAAGGCCCUAUGGGUUGUAAAGCUCUGUCAGAUUGGGAAGAAAACCUUACGGUUAAUACCCGUGAGGCUUGACGGUACCUUCAGAGGAAGCACCGGCUAACUCCGUGCCAGCAGCCGCGGUAAUACGGAGGGUGCAAGCGUUGUUCGGAUUCACUGGGUAUAAAGGGUGCGCAGGCGGCCUGAUAAGUCAGGGGUGAAAUAUGACGGCUCGACCGUCAAACUGCCCCUGAAACUGCCAGGCCUGAGUCCGGGAGAGGUAGGUGGAAUUCCAGGUGUAGCGGUGAAAUGCGUAAAUAUCUGGAGGAACACCGGCGGCGAAGGCGGCCUACUGGCCCGGAACUGACGCUCAGGCACGAAAGCUAGGGGAGCGAACGGGAUUAGAUACCCCGGUAGUCCUAGCCGUAAACGAUGGGCACUAGGUGUUGGAGGAGUCUACCCCUUCAGUGCCGCAGCUAACGCAUUAAGUGCCCCACCUGGGGAGUACGAUCGCAAGGUUGAAACUCAAAGGAAUUGACGGGGGCCCGCACAAGCGGUGGAGCAUGUGGUUUAAUUCGAUGCAACGCGAAGAACCUUACCUGGACUUGACAUGCAGGGGACAGGUGUAGAAAUACACCCUUCUUCGGACCCUUGUACAGGUGCUGCAUGGCUGUCGUCAGCUCGUGUCGUGAAAUGUUGGGUUAAGUCUCGCAACGAGCGCAACCCCUGUUUUCAGUUGCCAUCAGGUUAUGCUGGGGACUCUGGAGAGACUGCCGGUGACAAACCGGAGGAAGGUGGGGACGACGUCAAGUCAUCAUGGCCCUUACGUCCAGGGCUACACACGUGCUACAAUGGCUGGUACAAAGGGCUGCAAUACUGCGAAGUGGAGCGAAUCCCGAAAAGCCAGCCUCAGUUCGGAUUGGAGUCUGCAACUCGACUCCAUGAAGUUGGAAUCGCUAGUAAUCGCGUAUCAGAACGACGCGGUGAAUACGUUCCCGGGCCUUGUACACACCGCCCGUCAAGUCAACCGAGUUGGCUGCACCCCAGGUCGCUGAGCUAGCCCGUAAGGGAGGCAGGUGCCCAAGGUGUGGUUGAUAAGGGGGACUAAGUCGUAACAAGGUA
rnacentral:rRNA from 1 species